rnacentral:misc_RNA from 1 species
AAGCGACGUUUUCCGGUUAGAACUGUAAAAGUUAAAAGAAGAGGACAAUCCAGAAAAUUUGCGUUGAGUGAGCACUGGAUGUCCUGUAGUUUUUUUCAUUCUGGAGGAGGAGAAUACAGGCCCAUACUUAGAUAGGAGGUUUACAUCUCUGUCUCUUGGAGAAAGAAAUUCACUGGCUAAUCCUGAUAUUUGGGAUAAUUGUGCUAAUUACUUCAGUAUGCCAAUUAGAAGAAAACGAAGUUCACCUACCUCAGACGAUCCUAGAAAUAAAAAGGCGAAAGUGUCUAAUUGGUCAAGACGUAAUGAGUUAGAGAAUGACUUCAGUACGAAGCGAUGCAUAGCAUGGUUCCAUGAAUACACAGAUACUGACGAGGAUGUCUUAGGUCCUGAAGGAAUGGAAAAGUUUUGUGAGGACAUUGGAGUGGAACCAGAAAAUAUUGUAAUGUUGUGUUUGGCCUGGAAAUUGGAUGCCAAAGCAAUGGGAUUCUUCACCAAAGCCGAGUGGUUAAAAGGAAUGACGGAAAUACAGUAAGUUAUUCAUGUUAUUUGGAACAUCUUAUGUCACAGCAUCUUAUUCCUUGAGACUUUCUUUUUUUACUAAUGAUAUUUCAAGAAACAUGCAUGUAGAACAUUUAAUUAGUGUUUUAUAUAUAGCUAUCAGAAACAUACAAGUGACAUUUUGUUUGUCUAUGAGUAUUUCUGUGAAGUGUAUAUAAACAUUAUUAAUAUGUAUAAAAAUAUAUUGCUUUACCAUGCAUGUAUGUCUUUUACAGGUGCGACUCUAUAUCAAAGUUACAAGGUCGUCUGGAAUACUUGCGCUCAAUGCUGGAUGACCCUGUACAUUUCAAAAAUAUUUACAGAUAUGCAUAUGAUUUUGCUAGGGUAUGGUAUAUUACACACAUUUGAUGAAAAGAAAGUAGCAAUGUUCUACUGGUAAAUCAGGAACCUUUAUGCUUUUAAAAUAGCAAGUGUCUGUGCGAACAAUUUAACACAUAUGAAUUUAGACUAUUAUUAAUUGAUAUGAAAAUGGAUUCCCAUGAAUUAUGUAUAUUGUAUGUAUACAUUAUUAAUUAAUUUAUGAUAUUAAUAAAAGAAUAUCUGGUAUGUAUUCAUUUCAAAUUUUCUUUGAACAAUUAUAAGGUUUUGUUUUUAUUCUUAGAACAAAGACCAAAGAAGUAUGGAUGUUGAAACAGCCAAGGCAAUGCUGGGUCUACUGCUGGGUAAACAUUGGCCGUUAUUUGGCUCAUUUCAUCAGUUCAUAGAGCAAUCCAAGUAUAAAGUGAUAAAUAAGGACCAAUGGUGUAAUAUUCUGGAAUUCAGUCGAUCAAUUCUGCCGGAUCUGUCAAAUUAUGAUGAGGAUGGAGCAUGGCCAGUUUUAUUGGAUGAAUUUGUGGAAUGGUAUCGAGAAAACAAAUCCAUGUCGAGUUAAUCAUUCCAAGCCAGUGUCUUUCAUAGAAAAUGCUGUUCCAUUAGAAACUGAAGCUGUGUCACCUAAUCGCCACUGUACUAUUUCCAGGAAGGUGGUCCACAGCAAAAUUUUGGGCAUUGAAUGUGAGCGAAAAAGUGAAAGUGAAAGUUGAUACAAGUUUUCAUGGUAACCUAUGGAUUUUAGUGCUAAGAGAUCAGAGGUGUUAUUGAAACUUCAUACACAUACACAAAAUGUGCUAUUAUAUGUAUUGUUAUGUGUAUUAUAUGGAAAAAAUCUUUAUUGUUUAUUGAUUAUGUUAAGUAUAGAACAUGUAUUAGACAUACAUACAUGUAUAUGUUUGUUAUGUACAUAAAAGUGAGAUCAAUUAAACACUUAUGUAAGAUGC